UACGUAGGGGGCAAGCGUUGUCCGGAUUUAUUGGGCGUAAAGCGCGUGUAGGCGGCCAGGUAGGUCCGCUGUGAAAACCCGAGGCUCAACCUCGGGACGUCGGCGGAAACCAUUUGGCUAGAGUCCGGAAGAGGAGAGUGGAAUUCCCGGUGUAGCGGUGAAAUGCGCAGAUAUCGGGAAGAACACCCGUGGCGAAGGCGGCUCUCUGGGACGGUACUGACGCUGAGGCGCGAAAAGCUGAGGGGAGCAAACGGGGAU
rnacentral:rRNA from 1 species